rnacentral:rRNA from 1 species
GAUGAACGCUGGCGGCGUGCCUAAUACUUGCAAGUCGAGCGAACAGACGAGGAGCUUGCUCCUCUGACGUUAGCGGCGGACGGGUGAGUAACACGUGGAUAACCUACCUAUAAGACUGGGAUAACUUCGGGAAACCGGAGCUAAUACCGGAUAAUAUAUUGAACCGCAUGGUUCAAUAGUGAAAGACGGUUUUGCUGUCACUUAUAGAUGGAUCCGCGCCGCAUUAGCUAGUUGGUAAGGUAACGGCUUACCAAGGCAACGAUGCGUAGCCGACCUGAGAGGGUGAUCGGCCACACUGGAACUGAGACACGGUCCAGACUCCUACGGGAGGCAGCAGUAGGGAAUCUUCCGCAAUGGGCGAAAGCCUGACGGAGCAACGCCGCGUGAAUGAUGAAGGUCUUCGGAUCGUAAAACUCUGUUAUUAGGGAAGAACAAAUGUGUAAGUAACUAUGCACGUCUUGACGGUACCUAAUCAGAAAGCCACGGCUAACUACGUG